rnacentral:rRNA from 1 species
AACGAACGCUGGCGGCAUGCCUAACACAUGCAAGUCGGACGAGGAAGCUGCUUCGGCGGUUUUCUAGUGGCGCACGGGUGAGUAACGCGUGGGAACCUGCCCUGUGGUACGGAAUAACUCCGGGAAACUGGAGCUAAUACCGUAUGCGUCCUGCGGGACAAAGAUUGAUCGCCAUGGGAGGGGCCCGCGUAGGAUUAGCUGGUUGGUGGGGUAACGGCCGUACCAAGGCUUCGAUCCUUAGCUGGUCUGAGAGGAUGAUCAGCCACACUGGGACUGAGACACGGCCCAGACUCCUACGGGAGGCAGCAGUGGGGAAUAUUGGACAAUGGGCGCAAGCCUGAUCCAGCAAUGCCGCGUGAGUGAUGAAGGCCU